GGGCAUGCGGCUGAUCCUCCUUAUCGAGAUCUCAGGCUUCUUCAUAAGCUCCCACACGAAUUGCUUGAUUCACUGGUUAGACGAUUGGGUCUGUAGCUCAGUUGGUUAGAGCGCACCCCUGAUAAGGGUGAGGUCGGCAGUUCGAAUCUGCCCAGACCCACCAAUUGUUGGUGUGCUGCGUGAUCCGAUACGGGGCCAUAGCUCAGCUGGGAGAGCGCCUGCUUUGCACGCAGGAGGUCAGGAGUUCGAUCCUCCUUGGCUCCACCAUCUAAAACAAUCGUCAAAAGCUCAAAAAUGAAUGUUCGUGAAUGAACAUUGAUUUCUGGUCUUUGCACUAAAACUGUUCUUUAAAAAUUCGGGUAUGUGAUAAAAGUAAAACUGAAUGAUCUCUUUCACUGGUGAUCAUUCAAGUCAAGGUAAAAUUUGCAAGUUCAAGCGCGAAUUUUCGGCAAAUGUCGUCUUCACAGUAUAACCAAAUUGCUUGGGGUUAUAUGGUCAAGUGAAGAAGCGCAUACGGUGGAUGCCUGGACGCCCAUUGAUUGCCUUUUCGUGCCCGUCUUACGAGAAAGACUACUUUCUCAAAUUUCUGCUUGAACUGAAAUUUACACCCAGCUGGAUGACCCCCACAUAAGUUAUUUUCUAGUUAUAUAUUGUUCGGCCCAGGCAUUCAAACAAUCUAGGUACGCAAACUAAAAACAAUAUUUUUCCCAAUAUAUGCCAAAUGAUAAGUAGGGUUCACUAGGAAACACACA
rnacentral:tRNA from 1 species